rnacentral:rRNA from 1 species
AAUCAACGUUGGCGGCGUGCCUAACACAUGCAAGUCGAACGCGAAAGCCCCGCAAGGGGUUAGUAGAGUGGCAAACGGGUGAGUAACACGUGGGUGACCUGCCUUCGAGUGGGGGAUAACGUCCCGAAAGGGACGCUAAUACCGCAUAAUAUCCUGCCUUUUAAGAGGUGGACAUCAAAGCUGGGGAUCGCAAGACCUAGCGCUUGAAGAGGGGCCCGCGCCUGAUUAGCUAGUUGGUGGGGAAUGGCUCACCAAGGCAACGAUCAGUAUCCGGCCUGAGAGGGCGGACGGACACACUGGGACUGAGACACGGCCCAGACUCCUACGGGAGGCAGCAGUGGGGAAUUGUUCGCAAUGGGCGCAAGCCUGACGACGCAACGCCGCGUGGAGGACGAAGACCUUC